rnacentral:rRNA from 1 species
UUAAGCGACUAAGCGUACACGGUGGAUGCCCUGGCAGUCAGAGGCGAUGAAGGACGUGCUAAUCUGCGAUAAGCGUCGGUAAGGUGAUAUGAACCGUUAUAACCGGCGAUUUCCGAAUGGGGAAACCCAGUGUGUUUCGACACACUAUCAUUAACUGAAUCCAUAGGUUAAUGAGGCGAACCGGGGGAACUGAAACAUCUAAGUACCCCGAGGAAAAGAAAUCAACCGAGAUUCCCCCAGUAGCGGCGAGCGAACGGGGAGCAGCCCAGAGCCUGAAUCAGUAUGUGUGUUAGUGGAAGCGUCUGGAAAGGCGCGCGAUACAGGGUGACAGCCCCGUACACAAAAAUGCACAUAUUGUGAGCUCGAUGAGUAGGGCGGGACACGUGGUAUCCUGUCUGAAUAUGGGGGGACCAUCCUCCAAGGCUAAAUACUCCUGACUGACCGAUAGUGAACCAGUACCGUGAGGGAAAGGCGAAAAGAACCCCGGCGAGGGGAGUGAAAAAGAACCUGAAACCGUGUACGUACAAGCAGUGGGAGCACGCUUAGGCGUGUGACUGCGUACCUUUUGUAUAAUGGGUCAGCGACUUAUAUUCUGUAGCAAGGUUAACCGAAUAGGGGAGCCGAAGGGAAACCGAGUCUUAACUGGGCGUUAAGUUGCAGGGUAUAGACCCGAAACCCGGUGAUCUAGCCAUGGGCAGGUUGAAGGUUGGGUAACACUAACUGGAGGACCGAACCGACUAAUGUUGAAAAAUUAGCGGAUGACUUGUGGCUGGGGGUGAAAGGCCAAUCAAACCGGGAGAUAGCUGGUUCUCCCCGAAAGCUAUUUAGGUAGCGCCUCGUGAAUUCAUCUCCGGGGGUAGAGCACUGUUUCGGCAAGGGGGUCAUCCCGACUUACCAACCCGAUGCAAACUGCGAAUACCGGAGAAUGUUAUCACGGGAGACACACGGCGGGUGCUAACGUCCGUCGUGAAGAGGGAAACAACCCAGACCGCCAGCUAAGGUCCCAAAGUCAUGGUUAAGUGGGAAACGAUGUGGGAAGGCCCAGACAGCCAGGAUGUUGGCUUAGAAGCAGCCAUCAUUUAAAGAAAGCGUAAUAGCUCACUGGUCGAGUCGGCCUGCGCGGAAGAUGUAACGGGGCUAAACCAUGCACCGAAGCUGCGGCAGCGACGCUGAUGCGUUGUUGGGUAGGGGAGCGUUCUGUAAGCCUGCGAAGGUGUGCUGUGAGGCAUGCUGGAGGUAUCAGAAGUGCGAAUGCUGACAUAAGUAACGAUAAAGCGGGUGAAAAGCCCGCUCGCUGGAAGACCAAGGGUUCCUGUCCAACGUUAAUCGGGGCAGGGUGAGUCGACCCCUAAGGCGAGGCCGAAAGGCGUAGUCGAUGGGAAACAGGUUAAUAUUCCUGUACUUGGUGUUACUGCGAAGGGGGGACGGAGAAGGCUAUGUUGGCCGGGCGACGGUUGUCCCGGUUUAAGCGUGUAGGCUGGUUUUCCAGGCAAAUCCGGAAAAUCAAGGCUGAGGCGUGAUGACGAGGCACUACGGUGCUGAAGCAACAAAUGCCCUGCUUCCAGGAAAAGCCUCUAAGCAUCAGGUAACAUCAAAUCGUACCCCAAACCGACACAGGUGGUCAGGUAGAGAAUACCAAGGCGCUUGAGAGAACUCGGGUGAAGGAACUAGGCAAAAUGGUGCCGUAACUUCGGGAGAAGGCACGCUGAUAUGUAGGUGAAGUCCCUUGCGGAUGGAGCUGAAAUCAGUCGAAGAUACCAGCUGGCUGCAACUGUUUAUUAAAAACACAGCACUGUGCAAACACGAAAGUGGACGUAUACGGUGUGACGCCUGCCCGGUGCCGGAAGGUUAAUUGAUGGGGUCAGCGCAAGCGAAGCUCUUGAUCGAAGCCCCGGUAAACGGCGGCCGUAACUAUAACGGUCCUAAGGUAGCGAAAUUCCUUGUCGGGUAAGUUCCGACCUGCACGAAUGGCGUAAUGAUGGCCAGGCUGUCUCCACCCGAGACUCAGUGAAAUUGAACUCGCUGUGAAGAUGCAGUGUACCCGCGGCAAGACGGAAAGACCCCGUGAACCUUUACUAUAGCUUGACACUGAACAUUGAGCCUUGAUGUGUAGGAUAGGUGGGAGGCUUUGAAGUGUGGACGCCAGUCUGCAUGGAGCCGACCUUGAAAUACCACCCUUUAAUGUUUGAUGUUCUAACGUUGACCCGUAAUCCGGGUUGCGGACAGUGUCUGGUGGGUAGUUUGACUGGGGCGGUCUCCUCCUAAAGAGUAACGGAGGAGCACGAAGGUUGGCUAAUCCUGGUCGGACAUCAGGAGGUUAGUGCAAUGGCAUAAGCCAGCUUGACUGCGAGCGUGACGGCGCGAGCAGGUGCGAAAGCAGGUCAUAGUGAUCCGGUGGUUCUGAAUGGAAGGGCCAUCGCUCAACGGAUAAAAGGUACUCCGGGGAUAACAGGCUGAUACCGCCCAAGAGUUCAUAUCGACGGCGGUGUUUGGCACCUCGAUGUCGGCUCAUCACAUCCUGGGGCUGAAGUAGGUCCCAAGGGUAUGGCUGUUCGCCAUUUAAAGUGGUACGCGAGCUGGGUUUAGAACGUCGUGAGACAGUUCGGUCCCUAUCUGCCGUGGGCGCUGGAGAACUGAGGGGGGCUGCUCCUAGUACGAGAGGACCGGAGUGGACGCAUCACUGGUGUUCGGGUUGUCAUGCCAAUGGCACUGCCCGGUAGCUAAAUGCGGAAGAGAUAAGUGCUGAAAGCAUCUAAGCACGAAACUUGCCCCGAGAUGAGUUCUCCCUGACCCUUUAAGGGUCCUGAAGGAACGUUGAAGACGACGACGUUGAUAGGCCGGGUGUGUAAGCGCAGCGAUGCGUUGAGCUAACCGGUACUAAUGAACCGUGAGGCUUAACCUU